ACUGCUCAGUAACACGUGGAUAACCUGCCCUGCGGUGGGAAAUAACCCCGGGAAACUGGGGAUAAUGUCCCAUAGGCUACAGAUGCUGGAAUGCUCUGUAACUCAAAGAUUUAUCGCCACAGGAUGGGUCUGCGGCCGAUUAGGUAGUUGUUGGGGUAACGGCCCAACAAGCCUUUGAUCGGUACGGGUUGUGGGAGCAAGAGCCCGGAGAUGGAUUCUGAGACACGAAUCCAGGCCCUACGGGGCGCAGCAGGCGCGAAAACUUUACAAUGCGGGAAACCGUGAUAAGGGAACUCCGAGUGUCCGUAAAUGCGGACUGUCCGUAUGUCUAAAAAGCAUGCGAAGAAAGGGCCGGGCAAGACCGGUGCCAGCCGCCGCGGUAAUACCGGCGGCUCGAGUGGUGGCCACUAUUAUUGGGCUUAAAGCGUUCGUAGCUGGAUCGUUAAGUCUCUUGGGAAAUCUACCGGCUUAACCGAUAGGCGUCCAAGGGAUACUGGCGAUCUAGGGACCGGGAGAGGUGAGGGGUACUUCAGGGGUAGGAGUGAAAUCCUGUAAUCCUUGGGGGACCACCUGUGGCGAAGGCGCCUCACCAGAACGGCUCCGACAGUAAAGGA
rnacentral:rRNA from 1 species